GCGGGGGCGGGGCCUGUCAUGGCCGCCUCUGGAGUCAAUUCCAGGAACCCUGAGUCUGAUACUCUCAGAUCAUGACGGAAUUGCAAGCAUAGUUUGGCUGGUGAUGCAAGAAUUCAGCAAAAAUCAACGAAAGGAUUAGGGAGUGCUGAUUCAGGUUAUUAAGGCUUUGCUUGAUGACACACCACUGCAGUGGUCUGGAACCAAAGCUGCAAUAUCUCCAAGGAGGUCUGUAUUUCGGAAUUGUCGUUUAGUGAAUGUGUGACCAUGAAUAUAUUCAUGUAUGUGCAUUGUGUUUUUCCCUUUGCUUCCCAAAGAUAAAAUCACAGACUUGAGACCCACAGGAGGGGAUGAAUAUUUUACUCCCUCUUGAUAUGUAUUUAAAAGUUUGCCUUCCAGAAGGAAUCAGCCAAUGUACCUCUCCACCAGCUGUACUUACAGGUGUGCCGGCCUGUAGAAGACACCACAGAUUACCCACUGCAUGUCCCUCAGGAAAUGAGACCUGAUUUGAUUCUGGAGUGUGGGGGGCAAUUUGCCCAUCCCACCCUGUAUCUAUGGGUAGCUAAUGAGAUGUAAGCAGAAUUACUGAGUGAGUCAUCUGGAAAGCUCCUUAAGAGGGGAUAACUGGAAAUGAGCCCUUUUUGCCCCCAUGCCUGCUUUCUGUUGUGAUGGUUGGAUCUCCAGCAGCCAUCUUGGGCCAUGAGGCUAUUUUGAGGAUGGAAGCUCCACACUAUGCAAGGCAGAAAAGAAAGAUCUCCCCCACUCCCUCCUGCUGAGCUGACAUUGCCCUGUUGCAUACCCCAGCUGCUCUGUGGGUUUUGUGAAACUGUGUGUGAAGUCUCUAUCUCAUUGUAUUAUAUGCAGGCAAGACUGAACUCUCCUACAGAUGUCUGGAGUAAGCUAUGGUGUAGUGUUUUUUUUUGGCACAUAAUAAGCACG